UACGUAGGGUGCAAGCGUUGUCCGGAAUUAUUGGGCGUAAAGGGCUCGUAGGCGGUCCAUCGCGUCGGGAGUGAAAAGCUGGGGCUCAACCCCAGUCCUGCUUCCGAUACGGGUGGACUAGAGGUAUGCAGGGGAGAACGGAAUUCCUGGUGUAGCGGUGAAAUGACGCAGAUAUCAGGAGGAACACCGGUGGCGAAGGCGGCAUCCUGGACCGGCAUUGACGCUGAGGCGCGAAAGCCAGGGGAGCAAACGGG
rnacentral:rRNA from 1 species